rnacentral:tRNA from 1 species
CGCUGCUCGACGCGCUCAGGCAGAACGGGCUGCGGGCCACGAUGUUCAACCAGGGCCAGUACGCGGCCCAGAAC